GUUGUAUGGUUAAGUGACUAAGCGYAGACGGUGGAUGCCUUGGCAGUCAGAGGCGAUGAAGGACGUACUAACCUGCGAAAAGCGAUGGUGAGCUGGUAAGAAGCAUUUGAGCCAUCGAUGUCCGAAUGGGGAAACCCACCUGCAUAAGCAGGUAUCUUAGCGUGAAYACAUAGCGCUAAGAGGCGAACUCGGGGAACUGAAACAUCUAAGUACCCGAAGGAAAAGAAAUCAAUUGAGAUUCCGGCAGUAGCGGCGAGCGACCCCGGAGCAGCCCUUAAGCGGCUUAGGCGUUAGGUGAACAGGUUGGAAA
rnacentral:rRNA from 1 species